UACGGAGGGUGCAAGCGUUAUCCGGAUUUAUUGGGUUUAAAGGGUGCGUAGGCGGAAUAUCAAGUCAGCGGUAAAAAUUCGGGGCUCAACCCCGUCGUGCCGUUGAAACUGAUGUUCUUGAGUGGGCGAGAAGUAUGCGGAAUGCGUGGUGUAGCGGUGAAAUGCAUAGAUAUCACGCAGAACCCCGAUUGCGAAGGCAGCAUACCGGCGCCCUACUGACGCUGAGGCACGAAAGCGUGGGGAGCAAAUAGG
rnacentral:rRNA from 1 species